rnacentral:tRNA from 1 species
CGGGGUAUAGUAUAAUGGUAGUACGCGCGCUUCGGGAGCGCGUAACCCCGGUUCAAUUCCGGGUACCCCGACCA